GAGGAGAUGAAACCAGACCAGAUGAUAGCAGACCAGACCAGAGAGGAGCUGAGGGGACAGCCUGCAUCGCAAACUAUCUUAAAAAAAAGGUACAUAUAUUUUAUUUUAACUGCUCUUAUUGGUAACUGUUUCAUUAUUCUACAAGUGUCUGAAGUUCUUUAUUAAUUUUUUUGUCUCCAAAUUUAUUUGUCUUUUAUGGAAAGGAAACAAGCCUAGACCAGACUGGAGGAGACCAGACCAGACCAGACCAGAUGAUAGCAGACCAGACCAGAGAAGAGCUGAGGGGACAGCCGACAUCGCAAACUAACUAAAAAAAAAA